UGAGUAACCUGCCCUUAACUCUGGGAUAAGCCUGGGAAACUGGGUCUAAUACCGGAUAUGACUCCUCAUCGCAUGGUGGGGGGUGGAAAGCUUUAUUGUGGUUUUGGAUGGACUCGCGGCCUAUCAGCUUGUUGGUGGGGUGAAGGCCUACCAAGGCGACGACGGGUAGCCGGCCUGAGAGGGUGACCGGCCACACUGGGACUGAGAUACGGCCCAGACUCCUACGGGAGCAG
rnacentral:rRNA from 1 species